CCUACGGGAGGCAGCAGUCGAGAAUCCUUCACAAUGGGGGAAACCCUGAUGGUGCGACGCCGCGUGGGGGAAUGAAGGUCUUCGGAUUGUAAACCCCUGUCAUGUGGGAGCAAAUUAAAAAGAUAGUCCCUCAAGAGGAAGAGACGACUAACUCUGUGACAGCCGCCGCGGUACUACAGAGGUCUCAAGCGUUGUUCGAAAUCACUUGGCGUAAAGCGUGCGUAGGCUGUUUCGUAGUUCGUUUGUGAAAGGCGAGGGCUCAACCCGCGGACGGCACAUGAUACUGCGAGACUAGAGUAAGGGAGGGGGAACCGGAAUUCUAGGUGUAGCAGUGAAAUGCGUAGAUAUAGAGAGGAACACUAGUGGCGAAGGCGGGUUCCUGGACAUUAACUGACGCUGAGGCACGAAGGCCAGGGGAGCGAAAGGGAUUAGAUACCCCGGUAGUC
rnacentral:rRNA from 1 species